GGCGGCGUGCUUAACACAUGCAAGUCGAACGGUGAAGCCAAGCUUGCUUGGUGGAUCAGUGGCGAACGGGUGAGUAACACGUGAGCAACCUGCCCUGGACUCUGGGAUAAGCGCUGGAAACGGCGUCUAAUACUGGAUAUGAGACGUGAUCGCAUGGUCGUGUUUGGAAAGAUUUUUCGGUCUGGGAUGGGCUCGCGGCCUAUCAGCUUGUUGGUGAGGUAAUGGCUCACCAAGGCGUCGACGGGUAGCCGGCCUGAGAGGGUGACCGGCCACACUGGGACUGAGACACGGCCCAGACUCCUACGGGAGGCAGCAGUGGGGAAUAUUGCACAAUGGGCGGAAGCCUGAUGCAGCAACGCCGCGUGAGGGAUGACGGCCUUCGGGUUGUAAACCUCUUUUAGCAGGGAAGAAGCGAAAGUGACGGUACCUGCAGAAAAAGCGCCGGCUAACUACGUGCCAGCAGCCGCGGUAAUACGUAGGGCGCAAGCGUUAUCCGGAAUUAUUGGGCGUAAAGAGCUCGUAGGCGGUUUGUCGCGUCUGCUGUGAAAUCCCGAGGCUCAACCUCGGGCCUGCAGUGGGUACGGGCAGACUAGAGUGCGGUAGGGGAGAUUGGAAUUCCUGGUGUAGCGGUGGAAUGCGCAGAUAUCAGGAGGAACACCGAUGGCGAAGGCAGAUCUCUGGGCCGUAACUGACGCUGAGGAGCGAAAGGGUGGGGAGCAAACAGGCUUAGAUACCCUGGUAGUCCACCCCGUAAACGUUGGGAACUAGUUGUGGGGACCAUUCCACGGUUUCCGUGACGCAGCUAACGCAUUAAGUUCCCCGCCUGGGGAGUACGGCCGCAAGGCUAAAACUCAAAGGAAUUGACGGGGACCCGCACAAGCGGCGGAGCAUGCGGAUUAAUUCGAUGCAACGCGAAGAACCUUACCAAGGCUUGACAUAUACGAGAACGGGCCAGAAAUGGUCAACUCUUUGGACACUCGUAAACAGGUGGUGCAUGGUUGUCGUCAGCUCGUGUCGUGAGAUGUUGGGUUAAGUCCCGCAACGAGCGCAACCCUCGUUCUAUGUUGCCAGCACGUAAUGGGUGG
rnacentral:rRNA from 1 species